AUCCUCUACUGAUGGCUACAUGGAAGGUAGCCCCUGCAUUGGCUGCUGGUUGUACAGCUGUGCUAAAGCCAUCUGAACUGGCUUCUGUGACUUGCUUAGAGCUUGCUGAUAUCUGUAAAGAAGUCGGUCUCCCUUCUGGUGUCUUGAACAUUGUGACAGGAUUAGGUCCUGAUGCUGGCGCUCCUUUGUCAGCACACCCAGAUGUUGACAAGGUCGCUUUUACUGGGAGUUUUGAAACUGGCAAGAAAAUUAUGGCAUCGGCAGCUCCUAUGGUCAAGCCUGUUACACUGGAACUUGGUGGAAAAAGUCCUAUAGUAGUAUUUGAUGAUGUUGACAUUGACAAAGCUGUCGAGUGGACUCUGUUUGGGUGCUUUUGGACCAAUGGUCAGAUUUGCAGCGCGACAUCUCGUCUUCUUAUCCAU